CUGAAUAAUGGAAAAAUUAAAUAUUUUGACCAAUUUAAACGCAGCAUUUUUGUUAAUCACAUAUUAAUAAUUAAAAUAAUUAAAUUAAAACUCAAAAAGAAAACAAAAAAACCUGCUCCGUCCCCUCCCAACACAAAAAAACCUGCUCAUUUUCUUCCAUCCACCCCAAAAUCAAAUCUACCAGAAAACUUACCAGUCCCACAGCCGCCAUGACCAUGUCUGUAUCACCUUCUUCCCCAGUUCUUCCUUUUUUCCCACCGUCUCCGAACAAAUCGAACCCGCAAUGAACCAUAUAAUCAUAGUCAUCCACGUAUCACAACAUAAUCUGCAAAAUAACAACACCAACACAUACACAUUUGAAUCCAUAUACAUAUCUACAGGAAAAUUUACUGGGCAACAAUACAGGAAGAGGAAAAGAGAUGGCCUUUGAAGGGAGCUAUAAACUAAACUUUAAGGGAAAAACACCAAUUUUUUUUCAAACAAAUCCUAGAUCUGAACAAUCCAAAAUUUACAGGCGAAAAUAAAGAAACUUCAAAACCAGAUUCAGUUUCACCAAUUCCACAUUAGUCGCAAUAAAUUCAAUAGCAACCCACACACUAAUUAUUCUUCCAGUACUACUUGUAAAAUCAUUGUCAGUUUAUUUCGGCAACGUAUUUUCAUUCAAUUUUUU
rnacentral:lncRNA from 1 species